rnacentral:rRNA from 1 species
AUUGAACGCUGGCGGCAGGCCUAACACAUGCAAGUCGAGCGGACGAAGCGAGCUUGCUCCCGGAUUCAGCGGCGGACGGGUGAGUAAUGCCUAGGAAUCUGCCUGGUAGUGGGGGAUAACGUCCGGAAACGGGCGCUAAUACCGCAUACGUCCUGUGGGAGACAGUGGGGCUCUUCGGACCUCACGCUCUCAGAUGAGACUAGGUCGGAUUAGCUCGCUGGUGGGGGAAAGUCCUACCAAGGCGACGUUCCGUAACUGGUCUGAGAGGAUGAUCAGGCACACGGGAACUGAGACACAGUCCAGACUCCGACGGUAGGAAGCAGUGGGGAAUAUUGGACAAGGGGGGAGAGCCUGAUCCAGCCAUGCCGCGUGUGUGAAGAAGGUCUUCGGAUUGUAAAGCACUUUAAGUUGGGAGGAGGGGCAGUAAGUUAAUACCUGGCUGUUUUGACGGUACCAACAGAAGAAGCACCGGCUAACUUCGUG